GACAGAGGUGCCGAGCGUUAGGCGGAAUCACUGGGCUUAAAGCGUGUGUAGGCGGACCGUUAAGUGUCUUGUGAAAUCCCCCGGCUCAACCGGGGAAUUGCUGGGCAUACUGGCGGUCUUGAGCAGUCUAGGGGCAGAUGGAACAAGUGGUGGAGCGGUGAAAUGCGUAGAUAUCACUUGGAACGCCAAAGGUGAAAACAGGUUGCUGGGGUUGUGCCGACGCUGAGACACGAAAGCCAGGGGAGCAAACGGG
rnacentral:rRNA from 1 species